CUCAGGAUGAACGCUAGCUACAGGCUAACACAUGCAAGUCGAGGGGUAGCAGGGUAGCAAUACCGCUGACGACCGGCGCACGGGUGAGUAACACGUAUCCAACCUUCCCAUAACUCAGGGAUAGCCUUUCGAAAGAAAGAUUAAUACCUGAUAGUACUUUUUCAAGGCAUCUUGAGAAAGUUAAAGAUUUAUUGGUUAUGGAUGGGGAUGCGUUCCAUUAGAUAGUUGGUGAGGUAACGGCUCACCAAGUCUUCGAUGGAUAGGGGUUCUGAGAGGAAGGUCCCCCACAUUGGUACUGAGACACGGACCAAACUCCUACGGGAGGCAGCAGUGAGGAAUAUUGGUCAAUGGGCGAGAGCCUGAACCAGCCAAGUAGCGUGAAGGAUGAAGGUCCUAUGGAUUGUAAACUUCUUUUAUAGUAGAAUAAAGUGAUCCACGUGUGGAUUUUUGUAUGUAUACUAUGAAUAAGGAUCGGCUAACUCCGUGCCAGCCGCUGC
rnacentral:rRNA from 1 species